rnacentral:lncRNA from 1 species
UUUUUUUUUUUUUUUUUUUUUUUUUUUGCCUUUUCUAGGGCCACUCCUGUGGCAUGUGGAGGUUCCCCAGUAUAACCAGGAGUUCCCAUUGUGGCGCAGCGGAAACAAAACCAACUAGGAUCCAUGAGGACACGGGUUAGAUCCCUGGCCUCGCUCAUCAGGUUAAGGAUCUGGUGUUGCUGUGAGCUGUGGUGUAGGUCACAGACAUGGCUCAGAUCUGGUGUUGCUGUGGCUGUGUGUAGGCCAGCAGCUGUAGCUCUGAUUCGACCCAUAGCCUAGGAACCUCCAUAUGCCACAGGUGUGGCCUUAAAAACCAAAACAAACAAACAAAAAAAUAAAUAAAAACACUGGUAACCAGACAGACAUGCACCAACCCAUGUGAUUAAAAAAAAAAAAGGGGCAUCUGUGACAUUCCAGUCAAAACACAUAACUUAGUCUAACCAUGAGGAAAUGGGUCAAAACCAAAUCGAAGGAGAUUCUACAAAAUACCUGGCCUACAAUCUUCAACCAUGUCCACCUCACCAAACACAGAAUUACCAUAUGAUCCAGCAAUCCCACUUCUGUGAAAAUUAGAAAAUUGAACAAAUUUUGUACACGUGUGUUCAUAGCACCAAUAUUUACAACAGCCACAAGGUGGAAGCAACCCCAGUGUCCCCUGAUGGGUGAGUGAAUAAACAAAAUAUGGUAUACUCAUAUAAUGGAAUACGGCUCAGCCUGAAAAAGGAAAGAAAUUGUGACACAUGCUGCAGCAUUCAUGAUCCUCAAAGAUGUCUGCUAAUAAAUAAGCUGGCCACAAAAGGGCAAAUACUAUAAUGGAAAAAAAUAAAAAGCAUUUUUAAAAAAAGGACAAAUACUGCAUGAUUCCCCAUAUAUGCAGUCUCUAGAGGGGCCAGAUUCACAGACACGGAAAGUAGAAGGGUGGGUGCCAGGGGCUGGGAGGAGGGAGCCACAUGAGGGGUUAGUGUAAAAUGCACACUGAGUUUCAGCUGAAUG